ensembl:lincRNA
GACAGUACCUGUAAUGUUUGGUGUGACAAAGCUAUUUGGUGUAUUUUAGGAAAUCAGGCCAAAGGGAAGACAAAAGCUGCAACUCUGUCUUACUGAUGUGGUUGGCCCUGGAUCGAAAUUUGUUAGUAAAUUCAAGGAGCCAGAACCUUUGGUGACUCCUACCCCAAAGUGCCUACUUUUUUUUGGCACCUCUUAACCCCCUGUCACUCUAGGGACUGACAAUCUAAACCUUGAGUUCUGUCUCUAAUGUGAGGGAUUUUCAAAUAAUUUUGACUAUCUCAGACCUAAUAUAUAUUCAUUCCUGCCAUGUACACAUGGCUUAGAAAUAUCUAGGGCAAUAAGCUGGAAAUAAAGGCUUUGGAGAAUAUUUCUCUCAGAGGACAGUUUUUGAAAUCCCCAAGGGCUGUUCAAAUUAUUGUGCUGCUUUGACAAACAUGAGCUUUCCUUUCAGAGGGUACAAAGGGCAAUUAAUGAGUAGCUCCUAGGUUCUAUUUAGUUAACAGUCCUUAUAGGAAGGCUUCCUCUUUGAUAGCCACAGGAGUAUUUCAGAAUAAGUAGGAAAUGCUCGUUCUAUUUGCAAUGUGUAGAAAAUGUGAUUGUUCCCAUCAGGCGCUUGUGGUAUUUCCCAGGGAGGCUGCAUGCAUUCACAGGCAUAUGAACAUCCUCAGCCUUUUGAAGUUGUGGAGCCACAGCCUACCACUAACUCUCAAGAGAUUCUUCGAGAUGGAGACAGUUAAGCAACUGAAAUUCAAGGUUGGGGAACAGAGAGUUGACUCAGACAACUAUACAGGGGGUCAGAAUUUGCAGGCAUUGGCCAAAGUAUGUCCAUUUUGACCCACCAAGAAGUAGUCCUGAGUGACCCUUCUUGAGGAGCAUGAAAAUGUGGUGAUGGUCUCUGGCUUCUUUUGGAAAGAACAAAUAAGAGUCCAUACACCUCAGCAUGAAAACCUUCAGUUCAGUCCCCAGUAAUACACACACGCACAGAAUUGUGAUAUCUGAUGAUGCUCUCUGACAAGGAGGCUCUAAAUUCACACCUUCUAAACUUUUAGUAUCAGAAGGACGCUUGGUCAUUCACCCUCUGACAUGUAGAUGAUUUCUUGCUGGGGAAGCACAAUGGCUCUGAGCAUAUUCCACCAGUACUGGGAAGUCAGGUGUCUUGACUUCUGCGAGGUGUCCUUUCACCCUACGCUGCUUGAAGACUUGUUUAAAUGUUAAAAAUACUUUGCUUGUUUUAAAGGAUGCCAACCUUUGUGUACCUGUCUUCAGACUUAAUCUGAAUGUCUAUACUUGGAAGAGGUUAUUUGCUUUUAGAUUUGCUUAGCUCGACUAUUUUUGUAACUCUGGGUACUCUGCCUACCUCUGGAAGUUUCAUAACAUCAGGGGAAAUCUCACCAUCUAGGCAAAAGAAGGAGCACAGAUUCUCUUAAAACAAAAUUAACUCCAAGAAUUCGGUGGAUUCUUUUCAAUUCUUUUACUCCUUGUAGGUCUGGCACUGUAAGACGUAACUUCAUCAAGGCUUCUGACUCCUUUCUCAAGAUGUUUUACAUUUAACUUCUCUGCAACUGUACUACUUGGAUCAAUCAAAACUAGAUUUUGCUUAAUUUAAUCCUAAGGAAACAUUUGUAGAGCUCAAUGAUAAUUUUAUUAUCUGGCUAUACAUAAAACCUUGAUACUGUGUUUGUGUUUUUUUCUUCUUCCUUGGCAUUAGCUCAGAACGCAAACAAAACAUUUACUGGGAAUUUUUCAACAUGUCUUUGUCAAUUUUCUGGAAUGCUCUCUACCUGUCUGCUGAACGUGGAUGGCAUUGGCCCUGUGAAUGAUUUUGUAAACAGCUGUCACACUGCCAGAAAGAUUCAAGAAAUUAAGUUGUUAUUAAGUUUUCAGCUGCUGAUUCAUUUUUCUGUGUGUUCUUCAAGACCAAAAAGACUGCUGAGCUCAGAGAUUUGCUCUCCAGGCAUUGGGAUUUGUAUUAUGCAGUUUGCUAAGUAGAUACUGACACUGUACAUUUCUUAUUGAAAGAAAUAAAAAUGAGUUCAGGUAGUUGAAAUAGCUUUACCUGAUUGAAGGUGGAGAAACAAGGCUCUCCACUGAAGAAGUGGAAAACUGAACUGGGUGAUGGAACCUCUUUUUUCAGCAGAGACAAUGGUAUAUAUUAAUGAUUUGGGUCAUAUUAUGACCUAACUACACAGCAUACCAUACACAUGCAGCAAAUGACAAUUACAUAGGUUAAAAAUUAUAUAAAGGAUAAAAUAUUUUAGGAGUUUAAAGCAUAUUAAAAGUUUAAAAAUUCUUAUGUAGUUCAAUUUGUACUGUAAAUAACUGAACUCUAAAGAAUAUUUUUUAGGCCUAAUAAUUAUUACUCUAAAAUCUUAAUAGGGUCUCUUCAAAUUUAAGAAUGAAAUAGGAAAUAUCAGAUGGAUGUGUCAUGUAAAUAUAUAACCACUUCCAAAUGAAAGUCCAGGUCAGGUCAUAGGUACCAUGAGCAGUAUGAAUAAUUUAAUCCUCUGCUUAGAUUUGGGGGACAUAAUUUUAUUAAUUCAGUUAAUAUGAUGGUCUUGGCUAACAUGUUUGUGCAAAUCCUCCCUGUAUUUAGACAUAAAAUGAUAACUUUCCCCAGGAACAGACUUGAAUAAGGGGUACAAGUGACUUGGUAGUCCUCAAAUGAAAUCUAACAGAACAGUAGCAAAAUCCAAGCCUCACAUAUAAACUCACAUAUAAAGAUUUACACUCCCACAUGUACACACUUAAGCCAGGCUUUGGGUGUACUGAUAAAGGGAAAGACACAAACCAAAUUAGCAAAGUGCUAUUAAGGAUUCUUUCGUUACUAAAGUAUGAGCCAAUGGGUGCUGUUGCAAGAUUUUGUUACAGGAGAACACCAAAUUUGGGAUACUGUACAGGCUGGCAAACCUGUUAGAACCAAGGCAAGGACUUGCUGGGUAAAGGACAGCACUAGGUACCAGCUACAAUUAAGCAUAGCAGCAA